CGUCCACCCAUGCUGUGACCGCGUCCCUUGGGGUCCACUUUCGGCCUUGCCCGAUGAAGAUGUUCUCGCCGUAAUUUUGAGCCGGAGAGUGAACUAGAGCACAGUCAUGACGCCUUUGGUUCGAGUAUACACGUGCGAAUGUGGCUAGGGCAGAGUCCCACUUAAGUGCUGGGACUUCAACCACUCUCCUGGCGCUGUUGUGGGCCUCCAUGAACUGUUUGAUCAGGUCGGCCUUGUUGGCCCGCGCAUCCACGGUGUUGAUUGAGCUAAUCAAGAAGGUUAAUGACAAAGAUAUGAAAAGGGUGGUCAGUUUCAGUGAAAACGGAGCCAUUGGUUGUGAAGAUGUGUAGGAUAAUGAAAGAAGCUCCUUUUGGGUUUUGUUUGUUGAGUGUGUGGUUGUGGUGGGGUGGUGGGCCUUGUUUAAAUAGAGGCCUGAAAUGGAGAGCUAUAGGAGAGUAGAGGUUUUAGUUGCUUUGGAGCUAAGUAUGGAAGGGUUUUUUUUGUAAAAGUUGAAUUAAGAAAAUGGGUCUGGGUUCAUUUGAUCAGGUGAUUGAAGUUGUGUAACGUGGAAGAAAUCUGGCCUUUGGAUUGUCUGUUUUGCACUUUUGUGUGCGCGGGAGACGCUUCGCGUCUACUAUUUGCUUUGUAGCCGUUUGCUUCGUUUGAGAGAUUCGAAUUUCACAUUUGAAA